rnacentral:lncRNA from 1 species
UGUUCGUGAUAGUACAUUAGAAACCCCUUUCCUCUAUCAUUCUACAACAAUCCCAAUGAUUUCCUUCAUAAAAAAAGAGAAAUUGGCACUUUUGAUGGUGAUAUUUAUUGCUCUCCAAUAUUGUCUGAGUUCGUUUAGAGCUCUUUCAAUCAAUCGACAAGGCAAAGUGAAUGCUGCUGCCACCGUGAUUGUAAUUCCAUCUGUUGAAAGGUUUAAGCAAGAUUAUUUAAUCAACACUCUGGAAGACUUAUUUAGAGAUCAAAGGGCCUUGAGUGGAGACUACAUCUUUCUUGUCAUGCUCUCCUAUUCAAAUCAUACUUACUUAUCGAAUAUUACAUCCAUUAUUCGGU